rnacentral:lncRNA from 1 species
GGACAGACAGCAGUGCAGGCUCUGCACACGCAGAGCCCCCAGCAUGGAUAUCUUUAGGGUUAGGCCUGAUGCGUGCAGGAGCGUUUGCAUCUCACCAGGGCUUUGAUCCAGCUGUAAUUCUGACUUUGCUCUUGAGGUUUGAACGCUGCAUACAAAGCAGUGAGUUAAGAUGUGACUUAGGGCAGUUUUUUCCCUUUUUUGAAAGGAAGGAGGCAGCAGAAUCUCCCCACGCAGAGCACAGCGCUGCCCCACGCGUGCAGCCUCCACGUGACCUCCUGCGGGUAAAUGCAACCUAGCUAUUACGCUCCUCUCCUGGCUGCCAGAUAUAGGAACAUCUCCUGUCAGAUGGAUAAUUCCUGGGAUUUUUACAGUUUGACACAUAAAUGACAUAGCUGAGGAUUCGCAGCUUCCAAUUCUGUUCUACGCUCUGCCUUUUUUUCUGCCUUUUUUUUAUAGCAUGUUUCUCCUGCGGCUGAGAAAAUCCCACCAGGCAAGCGAUGGAAUCUACACUACCAACGUCCUAAGAGUGCACACAGCAUAAUCCUGCUCCGCUUUACUUCGGGAGGACCGUUUCCCAUUUUGGUUAAGGAGAAGUUCAUAAACACCGAUGGGAGAGAAAACACGACUGCGUUGAGUGAUACGGACUCCUGUUGAAGUCAUUAUUGAUACAGCACCCCAAAGGUUUGGAGGAACUGAUUCAGUGGGUGGUGCUGGGAGAAGAAGGCCCAGGUCUCAGCAGGAGAUCCCACCACUCCCACCCCAACCUGCCCCACGUGCCAGGCAGCAGAGAGCCAUUCAUCACAAGCGUCCGUGCAAUAAUGGAAUGGAUGUAUGGUGUUUGCAGUACCAAGUAACUCAUUGUUAAGAAUUUGCACGUGAUAUGGACAAAGCCAUUGCUAUCCUGGAGGGGAAGCCUUUCUGGGAAACAUUAGCUUGUUUUCAGGAGAUCUGCUGCAAGUGAGGAAAUGGGGGCUCUGUGCAUAGUGGAUGUGCUGGGAGUUGUGCUGGGCACGGAGAUGGACCUCAGAGCAUAUAAUGGAAACUCUCUGCCCGUGUGGAAAUCUGAUUUUGCCAGGAGAACCCAGCAGUUUGGAAAGCAGAGGUGCUGGGGAGGCUCAGCAGCAUGCUUUUGUGUGACACGGGAUAAGAAACACAUGUGAGGCUGGAGGAGAGGAUUAAUGCAUGCAUACGAGCUACUGUAGGAGAACAGCAAUUACUGGAAAAUUACAUUUUCCAGGAGACUAAAGUAAUCUUUUUACCCACAUUGCAAACAUACUGUAAAUGUGCUUUGAAAUAUUAUGACUUCAAAAAGUGCAUUUUAAAAGUAAAAACCCAUGGCACCGGGAGUGCCUCCUUCAUGUUUUUGCACAUCCAUCCCUGCAUAACCAACGGCGGCAGCCAGGGGACACGAUUGCUGCUUCAGUGCAGGAAAUGGAAACCAGAAGGGGACGGGCUGGGCUGGGAGGCUGAGGACAGGGCGACAGGCAGGUGUCCCCCCCGGUGUUUAUUCCCCUUUCCUCUUACUGUUGGGUGGAGGAGUGAAG